AUAGUUUCUAGUUGCUAAGUAAACUCUGAGAGUGAAGGCCCAAGAUAAUUCAGUGCUUGUUUAGGAGAAAAAUAAAAAGUGAAGAACAACUAUGUUGAAUUCUAGGGAAGCACUCAAUUCUGGAUCAUCUACCAGAACAUGAUUUGUUUAAGGAUUAUACAUAUUGGAAGGGGAAAGCUACUAACUUCAACUAAAUCCUGUGUUCUUAUUCCUGAGAGUAAUUCACAGGGGUUCCUUGCUGUGGCUGCUGUGGGGGAUGGGGGUGAGAUUCCCAGGUUACUGGAGUUUUGUACCUGGGAGGAUUAUGACUGUCUCUGCUGAGUUGUGCAGGUUGUCAGGGAAGUAGGGAAAGCCAGCAGUCACAGGUCUUACCUAGCUCCCAUGCAAACUGAAGGGCCAGCAGAUUGGACACAGCAGGAUAGAGAGACACUGUAGCCCCCACCACAACAGCCCUGAGGUCUGUUUCCAGGCAGAGGAUGUGAUGGGCUUGAAAACUUGCUCUGGGCUACCCGCCUUCCAGAUGCAAAAGUAAAGGGCUUGGUUCUUCCCCUGCCUGUGGAGUCUGCACACUGGAUUUACACCUUCCCCUGAGUUCUGGCCAGGAGGCUUCUCGUCCUGUAAAAAUUGUCACAAAGUUCAGCUAGAGAUUUCCUUCUCCCUGUGGAGUUUUACCCCUUGCUCCUCUGGUCACCCUCCUGAUGGAUCCCUGUGGUGCCAGUAUCAUGCAGGGUCCCAACAGGGAACAGGCGGUGUACCCAGAAAGGUAAUGGAAGGUGGUAAAGGGAUUCUCUGUAGAGACGUGGGCAGGAUUAAUGAAGCCAGUAAGGGAAGGUGACUAACCUGGGGCCAGCAACAGCAGGCAGCUGCCAACCUUGGCCCCUUCUAGUAACUGUUUCCUUCUCUUGCUAGAACUUGGGAGGGAGUCCUUGUCAGAUGGAAGAACAAAGCUACUAUCAAACUGGACAGAGAGGGAGGUGGAGGAAAAAAUAUCUCUCUUUUCUCUUGCUGGCACCUCCCCUCAGAAAUGCAAACCUGA
rnacentral:lncRNA from 10 species